UACGGAGGGUGCAAGCGUUAAUCGGAAUUACUGGGCGUAAAGCGCACGCAAGCGGUCUGUCAAGUCUGACGUGAAAUCUCUUGGCUUAACUGGGAGCGGUCGUUGGAAACUGAUAGGCUUGAGGCGAUGAGAGGGGUGCAGAAUUCCUGGUGUAGUGGUGGAAUGCGUAGAUAUCAGGAGGAAUACCUGUGGCGAAAGCGGCACCCUGGCGUCGUGCUGACGCUCAUGUGCGAAAGCGUGGGGAGCGAACGGG
rnacentral:rRNA from 1 species